rnacentral:rRNA from 1 species
UACAGAGGUCUCAAGCGUUGUUCGGAUUCAUUGGGCGUAAAGGGUGCGUAGGCGGCGCGGUAAGUCGGGUGUGAAAGCCCUCAGCUCAACUGAGGAAGUGCGCCCGAAACUGCUGAGCUCGAGUGCCGGAGAGGGUGGCGGAAUUCCCCAAGUAGAGGUGAAAUUCGUAGAGAUGGGGAGGAACACCGGUGGCGAAGGCGGCCACCUGGACGGUUACUGACGCUGAGACGCGAAAGCGUGGGGAGCGAACAGG